AGCCAUCUGGACCCUUUGUGUGGUGAUUGGAUGGACACAUGGCUGUGCAACAUGUUCCUCCCUCCAAACCUUGUUACGAAGUCAGGGCAUUACCCCUCUGGCA